rnacentral:rRNA from 1 species
UACGUAGGUGGCAAGCGUUGUCCGGAUUUACUGGGCGUAAAGAGCGCGCAGGCGGCUGGGCAAGUCCGAUGUGAAAGCUUCCGGCUUAACUGGAAAAUUGCAUCGGAAACUGCUCGGCUUGAAGGUGGGAGAGGGUAGCGGAAUUCCCGGUGUGGUGGUGAAAUGCGUAGAUAUCGGGAGGAACACCAGUGGCGAAGGCGGCUACCUGGCCCACUCUUGACGCUGAGGCGCGAAAGCUAGGGGAGCAAACGGG